UACGUAGGGGGCGAGCGUUGUCCGGAGUUACUGGGCGUAAAGGGCAUGCAGGCGGUGCGCCACGUUUGGGGUUACAGCUCCCGGCUUAACCGGGAGAGCGCCUCGAAGACGGGAGCACUUGAGGGCCAGAGAGGGACACGGAACUCCGGGUGGAGUGGUGAAAUGCGUAGAUAUCCGGAAGAACACCAAAGGCGAAGGCAGUGUCCUGGCUGGUUCCUGACGCUGAGGUGCGAAAGCUAGGGGAGCGAACGGG
rnacentral:rRNA from 1 species